AUGUUGUUUUCACUAGUUUACAUCGAUCGAAGUGAUGGGUAUUGGAUGUAUUUUAUUGGAUUGUUGUCGUGUGAAUUGUUUGUAUGGUACGCGGAAUCAAAGUCAAUAUAGGAGUGCGGAACUGUUUUCAUGAAAAAGUGCUAAAUGUCAAAUGAAGUUGGUUGGUUUAACGCCGCCGGAUGCUGGCGGGAAAACAGUUAAUUGGUGGUUGUACCGAAUAAUAAUUUGGAUGUUUUUUGUUGACUUUUUGACCUUUUUUUGAUUUAAGGUUAUAUAGUUUUGAAUUUGAUCAUUCGUUCUCAAAACCCAUUUCUUGUUUAUUCUCAAGUGAAGUUAGUUUGCUUAUUUUGGCUUCCUAACUGAAUGGGCUGACAAGUAUUAUAAGGUAUUUUGUCUAUUGCUAAGUUAUGUUAAUUAAUUUCAUGCGUUGUUUACAUAGUUUGAUGCUUAGAUCAUCCGUAGUGGGAUUUUUUUUGGGCAUUUUCCCCUAAAAAACGCCCCACAACGUCCAAAUUCCACCUCGGGGGCGUUUUUUCCAAGAAAUUUGCUUUUGGCGUGUUUUUUUCCACCCCUUGCUUCAUUGGUUUUGGCCAAUCACCAUUAAUCUUCCUUUUGUUAGUCCAAUAAGAUUUUUUGAGGGUUUUCUUUUUAUUUAAUUUUAUUACACCUCUUUUAACAUAAUGUCUACAUCCCCACUACACCCAUUUUAGAAAACACCCCAUAAUGCCCUAUUGCUGACUGAGCUGCCACAUGGCGCAAAACGUCCAAGCGUAGGGGCAUUACCACUACAUAUGGUGUUAGAAGUUUCUUUUUUUUUUUUUUUUUUUGGUAUGGUGAAGCAUACAUAUCUAAAGCUAAGUUUAUGUAGUGUGAAGUAGGUUUUUGUCAUUAAAAGGUGUCUAGUUGGAUCGAAAGUAUUUUACUCCAUAUAUAGUCACAUUGUAAUAUGCACUCAUAUUUUUAUUACAAUAAAGAUAUAAACUUGUGGCACAAAUAUAUAAACACAUGUUGGUAUCCUCUAUUUUGAUACAUCUAUAAUGGUUAAUAUCCAACAACUAAAGAAAUGAGAUGAUGACUUUACCCUUUAUUAAGUAGCUCCAAGUGAUUAGAGACUUAAGAGUGGCGAUUUAACCAUCCAUAAAGUACACUUCUACUCCUAGUUCCAUU
rnacentral:lncRNA from 1 species